UUUCACAAUAACUGCUUCUCAUGAACCGAAGCUGGAUUUGCACGACGUCUCCUCUUGAAAGUUGGAUUACUGUGCACUUCUGGAUCACAGGCUGUAAGUAUUCACGUUUAUUAUUUGCCUUUUACUGUACGUUACGUAACCGGAGAUUAACAUAAUGUGCGUGUAGAGCUAAGCUUGCAAGCUAAUUGUUUUGUGUUGUAAUACUGUAUUUCAUAAACAACGUACCAUAUUUACACACGUGUAUGUUGAAUUAUGCAGACUAUCGUUUUUUUAUCGAUGUUGGUUUAGACAUGUUUACAAACUUGCUAAGUUGCUAAGCUAAAUACAAAUACAAAUGCCAGCUAAACUGUUACCAGUAAAAUUUGUUCUCAUGAUCAAACUCAAGAAACUCUAAGUACAGAUGAUUUGUUUAAAGUUAUAUGUAUUUUACUGUUGUAUUUACUUGAAGCUUUCUUAGAUUUUGAAACGAAGUAAACUGGUAAUGUGUGUUGCUAAUGUUGGGCCAUGUAAUAUGUAAUACAUUAACGUUUUAAUGAAUAGUCUAACGAUUUAUAGUCAUGGUACUCUAUUGUUAUAAUAUGUCUUUUUGACUGAAUACAUGUUUGUUUUAUUUGUCUAUAUCCUAGAUUCGCAGCUGGACACAUCCUUCUACAAUGUAUGCAAACAUGCAACAUCAUAACACACAGUACAAGGAGUCAGACUGGCAUAUGAGGAGCAAAGGAACCCAGGCAGUAGCAUCGUUUCACAAUGUUUCCAUCACCAUCAUCAGUGGAUGCCUUUGCCGUCCGUAGCCUGAGAUUUCAGAUUUGCAGCAAAAAAAAUUUGAUUUUCUCAUUUAUUGGAAUGCUAUGCAGGUAUUUGUACCUUGCAGCCAUCCAUUACAAUGUCACCAAGCCGUAACAAAAGCAGGAGAGGGAAAGUACAAGGCUAUGUUCCCAAAACACACAAGUGACAUACCUUAUGUGGAGGAUGUGAUCAGGCUUGUGUUUGAUGAGGUAUUUGAAGAUAAGCUGAAGGAAACCCCGAUUCCAAUGGACCUGGCAUCACAGUUUGAGAGACCUUCAAAGGAGGAUGUGAUUGCAU